rnacentral:rRNA from 1 species
UACGGGGGGAGCAAGCGUUGUUCGGAUUUACUGGGCGUAAAGGGCGCGUAGGCGGCCUCUGCAAGUCGACUGUGAAAUCUCCGGGCUUAACCCGGAAAGGUCAGCCGAUACUGCAGGGCUAGAGUGCAGAAGGGGCAACUGGAAUUCUCGGUGUAGCGGUGAAAUGCGUAGAUAUCGAGAGGAACACCUGCGGCGAAGGCGGGUUGCUGGCUGACACUGACGCUGACAGCGCGAAAGCUAGGGGAGCGAAGCGGG